rnacentral:rRNA from 1 species
AACGUAGGAGACGAACGUUAUCCGGAGUUACUGGGCGUAAAGGGCGUGCAGGCGGCUGCUUAAGUCUGUUGUGAAACACUCCGGCUCAACCGGGGAAGGGCGAUAGAUACUGAGCAGCUCGAGGGCGGUAGAGGCGUGUGGAAUUCCGGGUGUAGUGGUGAAAUGCGUAGAUAUCCGGAGGAACACCAGUGGCGAAGGCGACACGCUGGGCCGCACCUGACGCUAAGACGCGACAGCAUGGGGAGCGAACGGG